GGGGCUGCCCUUUGGCCGCGCUCGGCCUUGUGGGAGAGCUAGUGGCUGCUGGCUUGUGCGCGCCGGUCUCAUCGCUGCUGAGGGUCAGCAGAGAGCCGCGGCCUGUGGGGCGUUGUCUAAUCCCAGAGCGCUGACUGCGGGCACCGAGAAUCCUGGCGUUAGUCCAAGGGGCCUGGCGAAAUCUCGUUAACGAGUACUGCAGGCUGUUGGUGAAGUCACGACGUAGUGCCAGUGGCCUCGUCCCGCUCUGCUCAAGGGACCCUCACAGGCUGUGGAAUCCGGGCGUCGGGACCUCCGGGGACCUGGGCCUUCUGCUUCCACUCUCAUUCCUGAAUGUUAAAGGGGCAGGGCCGGACCGGUAACAAGGGAAGGCUGGAGAAAUAGCAGGGACGGAUUUUCCUCCCGGAAACACAUUUGCAGGCCUCCUAGAAGGAAAAAUCUAGAAACAGUGGGAUUGGGGAAAGAACGACGUGGCGGUUCUCAUGUCUUGAUGGGAUCCCCCUUUGCCCUUGGGACACCAACAUCUCUCACCUGCUUUAUCGUCAUAAUCUUCUGACUGGAUUUCCUGCCCCAAGAUUUGCCCAUUCCUGUCAGGCCCACUCCAGCCCAGGGUGAUUGCUGCCAAAUGCUGCUGAUCACUACAUUCCCCAACUUAAAUACCUUUACAGAGUUCCCCGUUGCCCUCGAGACAAAGGCCUGACACUGAACUUAGCUCUUGAGGCAAUGGAGGUUCCGGCUUCCUGAUUACUGUUCCAGCCCCAUUUCUGACCACUUUCCACUCUGUUUCCCCCAGUCAGGGGUUUAUGAGAUUAAUAAAUGGAUGAACAAGCUAUUUCUAGAAAUAUCAGCAAUAUUAUCAGAGUAAAAGGAACCAUUAUAA
ensembl:lncRNA LINC00390 long intergenic non-protein coding RNA 390